ensembl:lncRNA
CCUGAUUCCAACUCCACUUAAGCUUCCCAGGAAUUCACUCUCAGGUUCCCUAGGAGCAGGUACCAGACACUCUGUAAGGACCUGGGGAUACAAAGAAGAAAAGCAGAGGCCACUGGCUUCGGGUUGAGGUGGCUGAAGAAUGCUUCCAGCGGCAGCCUGAGGGACCACAGUGAAGAGAACAUUAGCUGGAAGUGUGACGCCUGAGCUGAUGGCUGUGACAGUGCCCAGAGAAAGCGAUCUGUGAGGCGAGACAGAACCGGCUGUGAAGACAGGACCUGGGCUGCAGGGAAAAUAGGGGGCCCCACAGUGCCUGAGCUGGAUCCAACCCGACAGAGGGACUGACCGCCGGCCCCAGUCGCCGUGCUCCUGGAGUCGCCUUCUGUCUUCCGUCCACCCUGCGGUGUGGAGCCCCUCCCCACACUGUCCCCUGUGGGUUCUGGCUCUGGGGGGCGAGUGCCCCUGGCAGAGAGCUGCUGCCCCCCAGGCUGUGCACGGAGGGCCCUUUGGCCACCCCGAGGAAACCGGCAGCGCCUCCUCCCUUUUCCUGCCUGUCUCCUUUAUGCCCUUUAGCUCAGAAGGCACGGGAAGGGGAAGGAAAGGGCGAUGCAAGAGACCGGGAGGACCUGGAAGGCUCUGCCUCUGUUUUCAGUAAUUCUUAGCUGGCCUUGGGGAAAUCUGUCUGCAGCAAAGUCCAACCCAACACAGAUAAAGGACCUUUCUGCUGAUGUGUUGGACAAGACCUUUAACCCAGGGUUUUGUGAAGCAGUUGGACUGCCCUGCACAAACUCACAGGAGACGGUUCUUGUCUUGCUCGUCCCCUUUCAGGUGCCCCACGUGCUCCCACAUGCCCACACCCGGCAAACACCAGCUCUCACGUUGCCUGGUCCUAAAGAGUUUGUGUCAUAGAGCGGCAUGCCCUAAAGAGUUUGACCCGAAGGCUGACCUGCCCUGGGAGUUCAGGAAGACUCCAUUCUGGGGACACAGCUGACGAAGUCAUGCUGGCGGGGUAGCCACUUCAGUCUUGGGUCCUCUCCACUGCACCCUACUCCUAGUUGCUGCCUUGGGACCCUCAGGCUGGGAGUUCUGGCCCUCAGCCCUCACCCUCCGAGGGACCCCCACCCCACUGUGGCUUCUGGGCCCUUCCUCAGACUCAGAAGGGCUCCAGGGACAGAGGGGCUGAAGCAUAUUAUAGUUUUGCUACAAAUAAUAAUAACAACAAUAAAU